UGCCUAACACAUGCAAGUCGUACGAGAAACACAUCCUUCGGGAUGUGGAGUAAAGUGGCGAACGGGUGAGUAACACGUGGGUAACCUGCCCUCGGGACCGGGAUAACUGGCCGAAAGGCCCGCUAAUACCGGAUAAGGCCACAUGGGCUUCGGCCCAAGGGGUCAAAGUCGGCCUCUCAAAGAAGCUGGCGCCCAAGGAGGGGCUCGCGUACCAUUAGCUUGUUGGUAGGGUAACGGCCUACCAAGGCAAAGAUGGUUAGCUGGUCUGAGAGGAUGAUCAGCCACACUGGAACUGACACACGGUCCAGACUCCUACGGGAGGCAGCAGUGAGGAAUAUUGCGCAAUGGGGGAAACCCUGACGCAGCAACGCCGCGUGGGUGAAGAAGGCCCUCGGGUUGUAAAGCCCUGUCAGGUGCGAAGAACCCUUUUCAGGUUAAUACCCUGGAGAGCUGACGGUACCACCAAAGGAAGCACCGGCUAACUCCGUGCCAGCAGCCGCGGUAAGACGGAGGGUGCAAGCGUUGUUCGGAAUUACUGGGCGUAAAGCGCGUGUAGGCGGUUUGAUAAGUCGAAUGUGAAAGCCCGGGGCUUAACCUCGGAAGCGCACUCGAGACUGUCAUGCUUGAGUACGGGAGAGGGAAGUGGAAUUCCUGGUGU
rnacentral:rRNA from 1 species